AUCUUCAAACACCAGAUCCUGGGUCUGCUCUCCUGAUUAAGGUAGAAGAAUACCACGGGCGCCAAUGUGGGAUAGGGCAAAGCAUCGAGCUCGUCGCUUGCAGUCCCGGCGUUUUUCCCAACGUUCUGAUUCUGGAGUUCUGUGUCUUCCAUGCUCUAGUCACAGUUAUCGGGUCUCAGUGGAAAAUGCGAUUUAAAAAAAAAAAAAUUCCAAGCGGUUAAGAAUCUCCUGGUCUAUCUACAGCGCCAAGGGACAUCCCAUACAAUGAUUAUAUACCAUAGAAAGAGACCAUGUUCCUUCUGUCUGUGAUGCCAGCCAGAGCCCACUCUUUAUUGUCACCUGUCUAUAAAUAAUACCUGACACUCUCUUAUGAGAC